GUACUUUCCUUGGCAGCGCAUAUACUGAAAUUGGAAUGAUAUAGAGAAGAUAAGCAUGACCCGUUGGCCAAGAAUGACACACAAAUUUGUGAAGAAUUCCAUAUUUGA
ensembl:snRNA U6 U6 spliceosomal RNA